UACGUAGGGUGCAAGCGUUGUCCGGAAUUAUUGGGCGUAAAGAGCUCGUAGGCGGUUUGUCGCGUCGGGAGUGAAAUCCACUGGCUUAACUGGUGGCUUGCUUUCGAUACGGGCAGACUGGAGGUAUGCAGGGGGAGAACGGAAUUCCUGGUGUAGCGGUGAAAUGCGCAGAUAUCAGGAGGAACACCGGUGGCGAAGGCGGUUCUCUGGGCAUGUCCUGACGCUGAGGAGCGAAAGUGUGGGGAGCGAACAGG
rnacentral:rRNA from 1 species